ensembl:lncRNA
UCCCAAACCAAAUUUGGGCAGUACCAGACAAGUUUGUUAAAAGUGUCAUAGGAUGUUUAAAGGGCAAGCAUUAGUCACUGUGGUGCAAAGCAGUGUGAUAAGACUUAGUAUGAGACUUGAUUCAUAACCUGGAUUGGCAAAGGAUACUUUUCAAUAAGAAGUUAACAGUAGGAGCUCUAACAUGAAAGAGUACACAACACUUAACAGCUGUUCCCCUUCUGCAAAAAAAUCAAUUGGUGGUAUAUGAAACUGAAUUAAGAUGACAGUGCCCAUCAUCAUGUGCAAUAAUAUGUGACUCACUGUUGGCAGUUAUCUUGAUCAUGGACAAAGUAUUUCUACAGAUGUUUCUUGUAUUACAGAAAUCCUAAAGGACAUGAAGUUUGGAAAGAUGAAUAAAAGGCUCUGAAGUUGGAUUUGCUUUGAGAAGAAAGACUUAUGCUAGAGCUGCUGCCCUGGAAAAGAGAUGAAAAAUAAAAAUGGCUUGUUUCAAAGCUUUAGUGUGAAAAAUGCAGCAGCUUUGCCCUCUGCUCUGACCAGUUCUACAGUGAAUGGUGACAUUUGACUGGCUUCUCACUGUGAAAGGAAAUUUAACACAACUGUGCUGGCAUCUUAAAGUCACUGACAGCUGUUCUCAGAGACAGGACGUUGACCUCAGACUGGGAAGCUCCAAGAUUUGCAGUGAUGCCAUAUGGAAAUAUUUCACCAGAGACCGCUGAGAGCCUUCCAGUGCCUCCCUGAGACUCUGUCCUCUACCCAGGAAGGCAAAAACAUUCUCCUGCAGUUGGAUGGGGAAGAACCAGAGCUGCUCAGCUACUGAAGCCCAGACAACCAUAGGAUUUACUUCUUCUGAAGACCCAGUGGUGCACACAAAGAAAUACAAGUGUGGAUUUAGACAUCUACGAAGCUCUGAACUCUGCUCCUGCCGAGAGGAAAUCAUUACCCACAUCAGUUCCCUGAAAGGGGAGGGCGCCGGGCAGGAGAAGCACAAACACCACGGAAAAACCCUAAAGCGCUUGUUAUGAAUAAAAUGUCUAGCCCAGCUUUAAUCAUGGAACAGAAUGGCUCACAACAACAUAGGACUCCUGUUUAUGAUACGGACAGACACUUUUUUCCCCCCAGGAGAGUUUUAUUUUAGGUGAUAAAAACAAGGAGAAAACACUGAAAAAGUCAGGGGAAAGUAACAGGCUCCUCAGCAGCACAAGUGCCAGUUUGCACCUGGGCAGUGUGGAGAAGAAAAGGAGCUUCACAGUGGCCUGACCUUUUUAAAGCUUCCCUUCCGUUCCCAAAUGCGGGCUUAGCUGGUUGUCCGAAAUGAGCUGCUUGGAGAAGCCCAGAGAGACUGCUGAACCAGGAAAAGGGCACGCGGGUGGCUGGCUAGGGGCAGUAUUGCCCUUGGGUGCUCCCUAUGCAGACAGUGAGAGAGAGGGGGACCAUCUGAUGGGGUGAUGGCACCCACCCGCUGCUUGGCCACAGACUCCUCUCUGCAGGGAAAUUUUCAGUGAUUUUCUUCCUAGCACUGCUACAGGCCAUGGAGCUGCCACACGUGAUGUCAGGGGACACCAAUUCCCUUCCUUUUCAUGAAAGGCUGAAGGGGAAUAUUUAAGCCAUCAUGACUGACACAGAAGCCAAGGCUGUGCCAAAAGCACCACCUUGACAAUCUUUUCCACUCUCUCCUUUCAGAACAGUCAAGCAAACUCUUCCUCCCAGAAAUCGCCUGAAAUU